AACGUAGGAGGCGAGCGUUAUCCGGAUUCACUGGGCGUAAAGCGCAUGUAGGUGGUUCGUUAAGUAGGGUGUGAAAGCCCCUGGCUCAACUGGGGGAGGUCAUCCUAAACUGGCGGACUGGAGGUUCCGAGAGGAGAGCGGAAUUCCCGGUGUAGCGGUGGAAUGCGUAGAGAUCGGGAGGAACACCAGUGGCGAAAGCGGCUCUCUGGCGGAAAACUGACACUGAAAUGCGAAAGCGUGGGUAG
rnacentral:rRNA from 1 species